GUUCUCACUUUAGCAGCAUAUACACUAAAAUGGGAACGACGCGGAGAAGAUUAGCACGGCCCCUGAGCAACGAGGACAUGCAAAUUUGCGAAGCGUUCCAUAUUUUU
rnacentral:snRNA from 1 species